AGUAGAUGAGAGAUAAGUGAAUGUGGACAAACCUGUCACGUAGGACGAGGUGGCCGAGUGGUUAAGGCGAUGGACUGCUAAUCCAUUGUGCUUUGCACGCGUGGGUUCGAAUCCCAUCCUCGUCGGCCCUGUUUUAUAGAGGUUGGGGGGGAAGCAUCUACAUUUUCACAUCCUGCCUAUUUGGAGCAGCAAGCUGGAGGUGCGAGGGGUGAGGCAUCUAAAUUUUCACAUCCUGCCUGUGGAGCAGCAAGCUGAAGAAAACUGAACUGGGGCCCAGAGCAAAAACACACACUGAGUACCUGGUCUCUGCCAGGAACUGUGUUAGGCACGAGGGAUGGGCCUUGGAGGAGACACAGGUAUUGUCCUUGAGAGUUUCCACUGGUGACCUUGGCUGUAAAGAGGAGAAAAAUUGAAGGUGGCGGGUUCCUGUAGUCCCAGCUA
rnacentral:tRNA from 1 species